rnacentral:rRNA from 1 species
UCAACUUGAGAGUUUGAUCCUGGCUCAGAACGAACGCUGGCGGCAGGCUUAACACAUGCAAGUCGAACGCCCCGCAAGGGGAGUGGCAGACGGGUGAGUAACGCGUGGGAAUCUACCGAGCCCUGCGGAAUAGCUCCGGGAAACUGGAAUUAAUACCGCAUACGCCCUACGGGGGAAAGAUUUAUCGGGGUUUGAUGAGCCCGCGUUGGAUUAGCUAGUUGGUGGGGUAAAGGCCUACCAAGGCGACGAUCCAUAGCUGGUCUGAGAGG